GAUGAAUGCCUGAACCCCCCUGAACCCUGUGACACUGAUGCUACUUGCUCCAAUAAUGACGGUAGUUACACAUGCAAAUGYAAUGCUGGUUACCAUGGAAAUGGCAGGAGUUGUAAAAAAAGCAGCAAGCAUGGGACGCGUUUCAAAAAAAGCGCUUUCAGUACAAUCAAGUCGUCACCAUGGUUAAUAAUUGUAGCCUUUUUGCCAGUUAUGCUUCAUUAUUUUHAAAUAUUUUCUUUUGAAACAUAGAGUACAAACAAAUAAUUAAAUGUGCGCAACACUUUCCACUAUUUACUACAAAAUAGAAUUAGCAUAAUUUAGCAGUAUUUAGUGGUAUUUAUGUUGCACAGUUUUAGUGUUUGUACUCUAACUUUUCUCAUCAAAAAAGAAUAUGGAUUGUCUGAUUAUUUAUUAUUUUUCAUAUACCGUUUUUUUUAAUUUUUUAUUUUUUUAAAAAAGUAGAGCAUGCACUUCUACGAAGGGGGAUUCAAUUGAAGACUAUAGUUUUUUUUAAACUUUGAGCUGGAAUAAAAUUGAGCUAAUUUAAUUAGAGUUACAAAGUAUCCAGUAUUCUGAUUGGUACUGAACGCUUUUUUUAAUGCAUGGUAUUCAUGUGAUAACAUAGUCGCUGAAAGUGAUGUGAAAGUAGCCGAGUUUUAAACAAUGUUGUGGAAAAGUCAGCUGUAUUUUUGUCUUUUUUGUGUGUUUCCUCUGUAUUUGAUGUAAAAACUUUUUAUAAAUGUCAGGCAUGAAUACAUUAAGGUUGACUUAGACGGCAAAAUGUCUGGUUUACCGUCUGACUUAGACGGCAAAGCGUCUAGUUUACUGUCUGACUUAGACGGCAAAGUGUCUGGUUUGCUGUCUGUGACUUAAAGCGACAAUAAUGUCUUGUUAUGUUAUUGACUUACACGGCAAUAAAGUCUGCUUAACUGAUAGUCUAAGAUAGCUAAAAUGUCUGGUAUAUUGAUAGCUGUAAGAUAGCAGUAAUGUCUGGUAAACUGCGAUUGAAAAAUAGCAAUAAUGUCGCUGAUUUCCUGAUUGACUAAUUUAUUUAUGCUUCCGAAUAUUAGAUAGUGAUGAGAAAAGCACACAAAGUACUAUUGUAAAUAUUAUAUAUAUAUAUGUAGAAAUAGUGUCACUUUAUGGUAACGUAUUGAAGUUCUUUCAGAUGUAAGUGAUAAUUAAAGGCCCACGUGCCCAAUGUGGCAAAGUAUA